ensembl:lncRNA
GGGAGCAUGCCUGCGCCACGGAAAGGCUUCAGUCUUAAUGCCGUGUCCUCUGCGUGCGCACUGCCUCCCGCUUCCACGCUCUCCCUCUCUACUGUUGAGUGCAUAAGAGCGGUUUCCUCUGCAGACCACUUUGCAAAGCUCCGUGCAACAAGUUUGCAGGAGCAGCAGCGGCACGCCGUCACGCAGGUUGACUUCCCUCGGCUGGAGCUUGAGCGGCGCUCCACUCAUCCAUCUGUCGCUGUCACCACAAAGUCACCGUACGUGAACGCAGCAUUGCAGGCGCACACACGCACGCUCACUCACUCACUCACACGGAGCAGAGUGCCAUAAAUUCGUGACUCCGCGCCAGAUGCGGUUUGCUCUCAGCAGCGCGUGGAGUUAUUAGUUAAAUGGAGAACGCGGUGGCGAGAGGAGCAUCUAAGUGCGUGGAAAAAAUGGAGAAAGAAGUGUCGCCCAGGCAGAAGCGACACUACUGCCGCACGACUGCGCUGAACGUCUUCUCCUCGUUUUGCUCCGUGGCGUCCGUCGCCUUCUGCAUUUUCCUGAGCAUUAGCGGAGCUGACAUCAAGAACCGAGUUGUGGAUUUGGAGAGUGCCAAAGGCGAGCACACCUUCACCCGUACCCCCGGCUACUCCGUGGAGGAUUUCAAUUCACUGAUAGAGGAAAGAGUGGACGAGCUGCUCUCUCAGCGCUCCUAUGAGAAUUUCGUCAAGAUUCGGACCGCCAGACAAACAUCACCUGAAUGCAACUGCCCUCCAGGACCUCCGGGAAAGCGGGGAAGAAGAGGCCGUAAUGGAGACCCUGG